UACGGAAGGCAGCAGUGGGGAAUAUUGCACAAUGGGCGCAAGCCUGAUGCAGCCAUGCCGCGUGUAUGAAGAAGGCCUUCGGGUUGUAAAGUACUUUCAGUCGUGAGGAAGGUGUUAAGGUUAAUAACCUUAGCAAUUGACGUUAGCGACAGAAGAAGCACCGGCUAACUCCGUGCCAGCAGCCGCGGUAAUACGGAGGGUGCGAGCGUUAAUCGGAAUUACUGGGCGUAAAGGGCACGCAGGCGGUUAAUUAAGUUGGAUGUGAAAUCCCCGGGCUUAACCUGGGAAUGGCAUUCAAGACUGGUUAGCUAGAGUCUUGUAGAGGGGGUAGAAUUCCGAUGUGUAGCGGUGAAAUGCGUAGAGAUGUGGAGGAAUACCGGUGGCGAAGGCGGCCCCUGGGACAAAGGCUGACGCUCAUGUGCGAAAGCGUGGGGAGCAAACAGGAUUAGAUACC
rnacentral:rRNA from 1 species